UACGAAGGGGGCUAGCGUUGUUCGGAAUUACUGGGCGUAAAGCGCGUGUAGGCGGGUCUUUAAGUCAGGGGUGAAAUGCCAAGGCUCAACCUUGGAACUGCCUUUGAUACUGGAGACCUUGAGUCCGGGAGAGGUGAGUGGAAUUGCGAGUGUAGAGGUGAAAUCGUAGAUAUUCGCAAGAACACCAGUGGCGAAGGCGGCUCACUGGCCCGGAACUGACGCUGAGACGCGAAACGUGGGGAGAAACAGG
rnacentral:rRNA from 1 species